rnacentral:rRNA from 1 species
AUUGAACGCUGGCGGCAGGCCUAACACAUGCAAGUCGAGCGGCAGCGGGAAAGUAGCUUGCUACUUUUGCCGGCGAGCGGCGGACGGGUGAGUAAUGCCUGGGAAAUUGCCCAGUCGAGGGGGAUAACAGUUGGAAACGACUGCUAAUACCGCAUAAGCCCUACGGGGGAAAGCAGGGGACCUUCGGUCCUUGCGCGAUCGGAUAUGCCCAGGUGGGAUUAGCUAGUUGGUGAGGUAAUGGCUCACCAAGGCGACGAUCCCUAGCUGGUCUGAGAGGAUGAUCAGCCACACUGGAACUGAGACACGGUCCAGACUCCUACGGGAGGCAGCAGUGGGGAAUAUUGCACAAUGGGGGAAACCCUGAUGCAGCCAUGCCGCGUGUGUGAAGAAGGCCUUCGGGUUGUAAAGCACUUUCAGCGAGGAGGAAAGGUUGAUGCCUAAUACGUAUCAACUGUGACGUUACUCGCAGAAGAAGCACCGGCUAACUCCGUGCCAGCAGCCGCGGUAA